UCUCUCUCUCUCUCUCUCUCUCACACACACACACACACACACACAGAGAGAGAGAGAGAGAGAAAGAGAGAGA